AUACGUAGGGGGCGAGCGUUGUCCGGAAUGAUUGGGCGUAAAGGGCGCGUAGGCGGCCCGGUAAGUCUGGAGUGAAAGUCCUGUUUUUAAGAUGGGAAUUGCUUUGGAGACUGUCGGGCCUGAGUGCAGGAGAGGUAAGUGGAAUUCCCAGUGUAGAGGUGAAAUGCGUAUAGAUUGGGAGGAACACCAGUGGCGAAGGCGACUUACUGGACUGUAACUGACGCUGAGGCGCGAAAGUGUGGGGAGCAAACAGGAUUAGAUACCCUGGUAGUCCACACUGUAAACUAUGAAUGCUAGGUGUAGGGGGUAUCGACCCCUUCUUUGCCGCAGUCAACACAAUAAGCAUUCCGCCUGGGGAGUACGGCCGCAAGGUUUAAACUCAAAUGAAUUGAUGGGG
rnacentral:rRNA from 1 species